UCUUGCCCCUCUCCUGCUUGCCGUUUGGGAUUGAGUAACUGCUAGAUCCUUGGACUUCCAUUCAUAGCUACUACUGAACCAUUGUUGGGAAUUGGACUGCAGACUGUAAGUCAUCAAUAAAUUCCUUUACUAUAUAGAGACUAUCCAUAAGUUCUGUGACUCUAGAGAACCCUAAUACAACUAACUACAUACUAACAUUGUUACUUGAAUUCUCUUUGUAAUGGCCUUAGACCAAAGCUCAAGCAUUGUAUUUAUACUCCUAUAUUUAUCCACUGAGGUCUAAUAGACCCAGAAUUAAAAAUUCAUUACUGGGAUUUCAGCGCGGCCGCGUUGGCUAGCUCGGCUUCUGAGGGGACCCUCGCGCUGCUCUGCGCCCUGGGCUGCGCCAUGGAGGUGGUGGAGGCCACCGAGCAACUGCAGACGCUCAAGUUCGGUGGCUCAGGCCAGGGGUCGGCAGCUUCGCCGCCACCUCAGGAGCGCCGGGAGGCCCCGCCGCCGGGGGAGCAGCCGCCGCCGCCAGCCCCGAACUCGGAUCCCGGCGGAAGACCGCCGCCUCCGCCAACCCCGAACUGGGACGCCGGCGGAAGACCGACGCCGCUAGCCCCGAGCUCGGAUCCCAGCGGAAGAUCGCCGCCGCCGCCAACCCCGAACUGGGAUGCCGGUGGAAGACCGCCGCCGCCAGCCCCGAACUCGGAUCCCGGGGGAAGACCGCCGCCGCCGCCAGCCCCGAACUCGGAUGCCGGGGGAAGACCGCCGCCGCCAGCCCCGAACUUGGAUCCCGGGGGAAGACCGCCGCCGCCGCCAGCCCCGAACUCGGAUCCCGGCGGAAGACCGCCGCUGCCGAGCGGGGUCUGCGUCCCCGGCCCGAACGCCGCGGAGCCGCCGCCAGUGCUGCAGGCCUCGGACUCCUUGGACUCGGAUUCGGACAGUGAAACAGAUUCAGAUAGCUCAAGCUCCUCCUCUUCGUCGUCCUCUUCAUCUUCAUCCUGUGUAUCAUUUCCUCCUGUGAUGUCAGAUGGACAUGAGGAUGUCCAAGUUGAAAAAGAAAAUAAGAAUUUUCCUCUUAAAACAAGAGAUGAAUUGCUUCUUAAUGAACUACCUUCUGUUGAAGAACUCACUAUAAUUCUGCCUGAAGACAUUGCACUAAAGCCUCUUGGGAAAGUUUCAAGCAUUAUUGAGCAAUUAGUAAUAAUUGAGUCUGUGACUAACAUACCUCCAGUUAAUGAAGAUACUGUCAUUUUCAAAAGUGAUCGACAAGCAGCAGGGAAGAUAUUUGAGAUAUUUGGACCUGUUGCCCAUCCAUUUUAUGUGUUACGGUUUAAUUCAUCAGAUCACAUUGAGAGUAAAGGUAUCAAAAUAAAUGACACUAUGUAUUUUGCCCCAUCAAUGAAAGACUUCACUCAAUAUAUAUUCACAGAAAAGCUCAAACAGGACAGAGGAUCGGACGCUUCUUGGGAGAAUGAUCAGGAACCCCCUCCAGAAGUCUUGGACUUCAGUGACGAUGAGAAAGAAAAAGAAGCCAAACAGAGAAAAAAAUCUCAGAUUCAAGGCCGCAAAAACCUCAAAUCUGAAUUGAAUGAGCCAUGUGAAGAUUUUGGUGAAGUGAUUCAGAAGUGGAAUGCUUAUAGCUCUUCAAAAGGAUCUCACCACAGGGAAUUCUCAAGAGGCUUUGCGAGGGGUAGAUACUCUCGAAGAAGCCAUGGCAGGCCUCCACCUCAGCAGUGCUAUAACUCAGAUCAUAUGACAUCUCAAGAGAGUUUGGGAUUUGCACCUCAGAGACAAGAUAAUCCUGUCAUGCCCCACUAUCCUUUUCCCCCGCCCAUGUUUGAUAUGCAUAUCUUUCCACUCCCACCCCCACCCCCGCCCCCACCAACUGUAAGCAUGGGGUGGUCUGCACCUAGCAUGGCCUCUCAUCCUGAGCUUAACUUACCAUACUCCCUGCCCCCACCACCCCUUCCUCCACCACCUCCCCCUCCCUCUCCUGGGGAAAAUAAUUCUUCUCAUUUUGGACCUUAUUUUUAGUUGCAUGCUAAAAAAGAAAACUUAACAUAUAUUAUGAAACUAGACUGUUUUUUAAAAAUACAUUGUAAAAUGCUAAAUCAAAUGACUCAGUUGUACAUUCAUAUAUAUUUUUAAUAACUCAGUUGUAAGCUCAUAUAUAUUUGUAACCUUUGUGAAAUGAUAUUGCUAGGGAAAGUUCAUCUCAUUCUUAGGAAACUCCAGUUCAUGUAAUAAUUAAAUACAAUGUUGUCUCAUGUCCUCUGCUACCCACAGCAGGCAAACAUAGUGAUGGUUAUGACACAGGGUUCAUCACAGCCUAUGAUACACUGAACACUGAUGGAAAAUUUGACACUUGGUUUAUAAGUGCAAGAAUUCUUUUUUUUUAUUUACACAUUGAAGACUUUAUUGAAAAUAUUUCUCUGAUAAUAACCACUAUUUUGUGUGGUUUAACUCAUUUUACCAAGUAAAAUAGAACAAAUCUGAUUAUAUAUUACUUCUUCAUAACUUAAUUAUUAAUCAGAUAUGGGCAUUUAUUUAAUAUACAUUAGAACUAUGAUUUCAAUUUUUUAAUUUUAUUGAACUACUAAAAGCAAAAGAAUAAAUAAGUUGUCUGCUCCCUCCCCGAAAUAACAGGGUCUAAAAUCACUUGGAGUCCUAAAACCAAGCAAACUCACAUGUUUGAGUUUUUCUGCUCACGAAUUUUUUUUUUGAUACUUGCUUCUAUUACCUUUUAUAUAUACAUGACUAUCCUAGUGCAAGAAUUCAUUAGACUUGAUUUCCUUAAGCAAGUUAGGAGUGUGAAGGAGGAAGAAGACAUUGGCUGAAGCUCUCACUAGCCGGUUAGUAUUCACUGUGUAUUGAUUGACAGACUGGUGUUGUCUGUGUAGCUGUCAGUUAUUUAGAAAGCUUUGCUGUUCCACUGCUUACAUUAAGGCGUGUGUUGGUGUGUAUGUGUAUUCUGUGUCUAGUCACAGGCUCUCCAGUAUCUCACAUGCGUAACGUGUAAUGAAGGCAUAUUAAAUGA